ACCUGUGUGUAUGCACACAACUACAUCUUGUAAUACAAUUUGCUCCUCUGCUGGGCAGGGGAGGAGGGUGAGGCGGCUGGUGUAAGACGGCUACUUUUCUGAGAUCACGGCUCCCGUGUCGGGGUGUCCAGUCGCUACUUUAUCUGAAGCACAAAUCGGGAAAGGUGGGAGGGGGCUAGGCCAGGGACACAGUUUCUGGGAGGGAGGUCGAUGCCCUAAAGAAACAAGGGGCCCUAGAAAGGGUUAAAUUUGAGCCCCACGGUGAUUUCAAUCAUUGGCUCUGGAUACUGUCAAUCAACGUGCCCGGGGCGGGGUUUACGGGACAGAUUUCAAACUGCCCUGCGCCCCUCACUUGCCCCUCGACCACCGCCCCGCCCCCCAUUUCACUUCAGGGCUCCCUGUGCCCGCAUCCCCACCUGGAGAGAGACACCGUCCCCCGCGGGCCCCGGAGGAGAAGCGGAUCCAGGCGUCCUGGUUCCCCCACUCACUCCAGCUGUCUGGCUUCCUGAUAGAUGACUUGCAGAACGCGGGCAGACUUAACUCCUGGCGCGCCAGCCGGGUGGACUCCGAAGUCGUGACGCGGAUCACCUCUGCUUUGUCUGCAGGCGCUGGGGUGCUGCUUGAUGGGGUGCCCCUGUGCCAGUGCUGCCCCUAGCGUGAUGCUGUGCCCUGUGAAAGUGACAGGAGUUUGCAGCCCAAAUACCAGAAAUGAUCUCCAAAAGGAGAUCUAACGACAGACUUGUAACCCUUGAAGGUGACCCAGUUUAUAAGGCCACUUGUUCCAGCUCCCAGGCCUCCCACUCUGCCCCACCGCCCAGCAGUGGAGUUCCCUCUGCUCUCACCGGCCCAUAGCCAACAGAGUUCUUUUGCCUCCUUGCCACUCCCAUCCCCUCCUGAGGUGGAUGGGCUUAGCCUCUUGAGUCUGUUUGUUUUCCCCCUUUUCUUCCACUCAUUGGCCAGAGGACCCCCACCACACACACACACACACACACACACACAGAAAGCCACCCUCCCCCUGCUCUUCCAAUACUCUCUCUCCCCCCUCCUCACCUCCCCCUUCUGCAUUCCAAAAGCCCAGGAACUCAGCAGGCCAAGAUUUCCAGCAACAGAUCCUACCUGCCCUCCAGGAGCUUUUAAGGAGGGGACAAUGAAAGACCAACAAACAAGAGGCUACACAACGAAAGGGCUUGAAGUGGAGGCCAUCAGGGACAUGUGGCUUCUGAGAAAGAUGACUGAUCUGGAGUGAAAGGGCACAGAGUCCCAAAGAAGCAAAAAUUUUCAGAGAAGGAAACGGGCCGCAGAUCCAAUGGCCUCACGCCGCUGCCAUUGCCAUGCACUUGCAUGCCACACCUGGACGUUUGGGUGGAGGGGGGAAACCCGUGGCCAACGGCAACUCUGAAGUCCACUGGGAAACUUUAAGGGCUGAGAGUGUAAGCUGACAGUGGUGGGACAAGGUUGGCGAGCGGAGGAGGGCACGAUGUGAAAUCGCUGGCUACUGCCCAUGAGCUGAGCAGGUCAAAGAACCGCGUGGGAGUACGAGGGUAAGGCCCAAAGUGUUGACGGAAAACCAUAGAAACCUUUAUUAACCCAAAUGAUCAAUAUGCGGAGCUCCUGUGUCGUGACAGCCUCCCUCCGUCUGGGUCUGCGCCCUCCUGGGGGCGAUGCUGCCCUCACUAGACCCUUCCCCCAGCAGCACGGUGAACACCCUCCUCUGGGGUCUCUGUUCCUUUUCCUUGUUCUUGAGUUUGAGGAACGACCAGAAGUGUGAAGGGGGAAGCCCAGAGCCUCACAGGACAGCCAGGCUGCCUCAUAACGAGCAGGCGUUUCCACUCGAAGGGAACACCACCCAAACGCCUCCCUGCCGCUUGCUGGCCUUCUCUCGUUCUCUCGCUGACGUAGUGGGGUUUGUUUUCUUUUCAUGGUUAGUAAACCUUCCUAGGAAGCCCUCGGAUCAUCCCGUUUCUUGCAAGAGAAAUCUCGUGAUGCAGCCUGCCUUUGAGUCUCAAGAAACAGUGCCAUCCCCUUCUGAGCUGAUCUUCCCGCCACUGUUCCGACCUCAGCUGACCUUUCCAAACCACGGUUUCAAUUGGACUUUUUUUCCCCUGAAGACACCUGAAGGAGACCCGGGCGAGUGUGUGAGUGAGAACUCCCUGCAGCCCCGCACUGCUGGCAGAGACGGGUCUCCCAGCGUCUGUGUGGAACAGAGCUGCACCCGGGUUCCAGGGCUGGAGUGGUGGAUCUGAGCGGGCCUUUGUGGCUGACUCUGGUCUGUUUACUUACGAAUGUUCUCACCCCUCCCCACCACACCAACCCCUGCCUCGCCGUGUCUGGGCAUCUCAACCCCUGCCUCGCCGUGUCUGGGCAUCUCAACCGCCAGCCGGCCGGUGACUGGGAGCGUACCACCUCCCAAGGCAAGUCCACUCUCUCUGGGCAUCUGUUCGCGCCUCCUUUCAGUUCAGCUUUCUCUGCGGUGGUCUCCAUUUAUUAGUCCACUAGACGCCUCCUGAGCUCCCACAUGGAAGUCUGAUUCUCCGUCCCUGUAGCAGCUCUCCAUGUAUUGCAGUGUGACGGGCUCCUGACUCAACAGUUUUCUCCUCAAAACACAUCCCAGUCACCAAGCAGUCACUCCCACGAUGACAUCUGGCCAGCUCAGAGCAAAGCAGGACCAUUGUCUCCUGCUCCAUGGGAGACACUCUAUCUCUCUUAAUGUAGCUUAGACCGGAGUUUGAUUUUGGCAGUGAGACCCUGCCAGGGACAGACUCUGAACGGACUCUCUAAACCACAGGGGGGUCCAUUGCAGGCUGUCUUUUUUUUUUUUUUUUGACCCUACACUGGUGCCUGCUACAGGGUGGAUGAUUUCAUUGUGUUCUGUUUGCCCACCACCCUACGAUGGAGAAGGUUUCUCGAUUCUUACCCCGCCUUUCCGAGUGAUUCCUAUUCCUUCAGGCCUAGUAUCUGCAAAAGCGUGACACUGUCUUUGCCAUAAAGUUGUUGACAAGCAUUCGGUACAGGACCGAGAGGGAGGCGAUGCCCUCAAGCACACAAGAGUCGACACCCAAGCCCUGUCACCUGAGGGAGCAGCAAGAGAAAGGGUUCAGUGGUUGGGGGCCAGGGGAAGGUCAGUGCUGGAAUUCUCGCCUGUCCAAUUGCAGAAGACCAGAGUGAGUUCCCAGAAGAGUCCAGUGCCCCCUGGGCGUCACUGCCCGUGGGUCAGUGGGCGGUUGCAUCUUGCCCUGCUGGUGAACACGCUGCCGUGGAGCGUGGAGCUUUCCCGUCCAGACUGAUGCCGAAGCAAGGGCCCCCGGGCUGCUUCAGAACAUCAGUCCGUGAGAGCCCUUUGGAUCCCAACUGUCCAAGCUGGCCAGGCACAGAACCCGGCCCGGCAGCGUUUAUUCCAUUGUGCAUACCACCACUGUGAACAGCGUGCCGGCCCUCACCGGCAGAGGACAGCAACAACGGUCAGGUUAGGCUCAGGCUGUGACUAGCCUCAGACAGGUCAUACGAAACAUGUCGUGGGAGAGGAAGAACAGGGGAAGAAGCAGAAGAUUCUGGAGUUGAAGCGUCAUGUAGGGAAGCUUCCGGAAGAGGGAAAGACAAAGUAAAGGCAAACACUAACCUUGGGCCGUGCAGACAGGGAUUCCGGCUCUGGCUCCGGAGCCUGGGUCCAGUGAGCCACCUGGAAUAUCUGUAAACUGGGGUUCCACCAACUCUAUAGACUAGAGUGAAGAUUAGAUGAGAUGACAGAUGGGAAGUGACAAGUGUCCAACAAAGGAGCCUGUGGCUCGGUGGAAGGAGCCCUGAGCCUGGUGACACAGGUUAUGUACUGGACUGCUUGCCAAAUGGUCAGCAGUUCAAAUCCACCUUCAUCUCCAGGGGAGAAAGAUGAGGCUUUGCACUCCCAUGAAGAGUGACAGUCUCAGAAACCCACUUCGACUCAAGAACUCACUCCACGCCAUUGAGCUGGUGCGACUCAGAGUGCCCCCCCGGGACGGGGUAGAACUGUCCCAGUGACUUUCUGAGACCCUAACUUUUUUCCUUUGGUGUUUACAAGCACUUUAUUAAGUUCAUUACAGCUGGCAGGUUCCCAGCUAUAUUACACAGACACAAGCGAGGCAUUCCGGGUUAGUGCGGGAGCCAGUGGGGGACAUGGGCCUUGGAGGAGAAAGCGCGUGGUUCAGUCUGAGCUGCCAGGAGAGCCUGUGCAGAGGACAGCCAUGUUCCGACACUGACCGCUGCUGUUUGCUCACAGGUGAGACUAGAACUGUUGAUGAGAGCAGAAAGCCCUGUCUUUCUCCUGAGAAGCGGCUGGUGGUUUUGAACUUCGAACCUGGCAGAUCAAAGCCCACCGAGUAACCACUACGACACCAGGGCUCCAGAUCCCAUUGAAACAACCGAAGUGCCCAUCUGUUGAAGAAUGCCUAAAUAAACUCUGGUGGGCACACCCACCUCGUUAAAGAAUGCAGAGGAAACAUCUCCCGUCUCAGGUGGAUUUGGAGAACAGAUCCCGAGUGAAGUUACUCAAUCACAAAAGGGCCAGUGUUAUCAAUUAAAAAGUCUGAUCAAGGAAA